rnacentral:lncRNA from 1 species
ACAUGCAUCACAUACACAAGGGGGCCAUACUGAUCACAAGAUAUAUACAUACAUCCUGCAAAAGAGAGUUAGGCGUCCUAACGUUCCAAACUUGGGAGGCCCGAAACUCCAUCUUCCAAGCCGAAUUUGGCAAAUCUAAUUUCGCCGAAAACGGCGAAGCGGUUGAAAUUCACGUGUAACUUUUUCUGUAGAUCAAUUUUCGUAUAGAAAUCGCCCCGAUCCGAGAUCGUACCGAAAAGUUACGGCUGAUUUACCGAAGCAUGCGCAUACGGCAAAAUCCCGACCCCGGCAGUAGAUCACAUCUACUAUAGCACAUCUAAUGCGCCUGGCGUAUGACCCUGGAUCUCGAUUCGACCAAUCAUAUUGAUCUUCCCUCACUGCAACUGGGUUUACGUGUAUCACUUAACUCCGAUGGCGGAAACCGACCGGUAGGAGUAUGUCGUUACACUACCAUUGCAGCAAGGGCACGAAAUCAGGACAUAGAUCAAACAGAGAACUCGCAUAUCUCCAUAUGCACACAUCCC